rnacentral:rRNA from 1 species
AUGGGGAACUACCGAUCUGGUUCUGGACCACAUCCAGUAUGGAAGAAGGUUUGGAAGCUCAAACUGCCAGGAAAGAUUAAGAUCUUCAUUUGGAGGUGCUUACACAAUGUGCUACCAUGCUUCAGCGUUCUAACAAAUCGGCAUGUUGGUACUAACUCUCAAUGCCCUAUCUGCAAGAUGGAUGCGGAAGAUAUACGCCAUGUAUUGUUCUCAUGCCCACGUGCUCUAGCUGUUUGGGAAGCCUUGGGCGUUGGCAAUAUUAUCAGGGACGCCAUGUGCAUAGACCGCUCUGGAGCAGCGAUAAUAGAUUUUCUCUUAUGUGAUGAAGCUCAUCAGCGUAUAUACUCAGACCCAAUAGAAUUGCCGGAGAUUAUUGCUGGAACUAGCUGGUACAUCUGGUGGCAGCGGAGACAAUUUGUGCGCGGAGAAACUGUCCACUCGCCGGAACAAACUGCAAUGUCAAUUCGGGCAGCAGGGAAACCGAAGGAGAGACCUCGACUGAACAAGUGGCCUGUUGUUUUGUCCAGCCAACAAGUACUAAACGUUGAUGCAUCGUUUCAUGUUGAAGAUCAUACAGGCGGGUGUGGAGCAGUAGUAAGAGAUAGCCGCGGGAAAUUCAUCGGCGCAUCAACAGCUUAUCUCAUGCAAAUCCCGGAUCGUCUCGGCGGAAGCUGCAGCUCUGUUAGAAGGCAUUAA